rnacentral:lncRNA from 1 species
CUUAAUUCAACCCAUAAUCCAUUCUACGAGUAUCAAUGCAACAAUACUUCCAUAUUCUUAUCCGUUCAUCUCCCACUUACUCUCUUUGUGGUUUAGAUAUAUUCAAUUAUUGAUCUCUAGGUUACCUAUUGUAUUCAAUUUCUCAAUUCAUUAUAUAGAAUUACGACUCUUACAGUUCUUCCCUCGAUCUCUCUUUCCUUAACUUCUUUAUCCUACCAAAAGAU